UCCUGUCCUGCUGCUUUAGCGGCCAGUCCUCUAUUUAAAAAUAUUUAAUAUGCUGCCAAACAGUGGUGUGAGGUGUUCUGCAGCUGCUGUUUGUCACUGGCUGCUCUAUGCCCCGCGUCUAGAGUGGUAUCUGGUGGCAACAUCAUGGCAGCAGUGGUGUAACGAUGCCAGGGCAUAAUCCCUGGGCGCCGGCCUGUGCGGGAUGCUGGAGCAAGGCUUAUUAAGCAUACUGAUCACCCACCCAGAGUCGGCGCAAAGCAGCAAGCUGGGGUAUGCAUUGCGCCUCAUUCAAUGCCCGCAGACCUGUGAGCUCCGAGAGGAAGGGCAGUCAUCAAGCAGUGCGGCGCACGGAGGGGAGCUGCUGAAAAAACGGAAGAAAUGUGCUGAGACCUGGAGGAAGGGGAACCGCUGACUGUGCUAGUGUCCUGACUCCUCAGACACGCCCCCUCCAUUGGCACGUCAGAACCGCGGUAGGCUUUGGCGAAAGAGAGUGGGAGCUGCUACAGCCAGGUAUGAGAUGGAGUUUCCUCAACUGAAUAGCUUUCUGUACGAAGUCUCAGUAAAGAUUCCAAUGGCUCAUGGGACAGAAGGGGAUCUCUGAAUUCUGAAUUGGUAUUUUUGUUAAUGGGCUGCCCAGUUAGUUCAUAUAUCUUGGUGGAAGCAGACCAGUCCCAAUAAAUGCCAUUUACUCA